UCUCAUGGUUGAACACUUUCUUAUCUUCAGACACAUCUCCUCACAGGGCUGAGAAAAGUGGGAGAGAACACAGAGAUCCUUUUCAGUGUGACUGUCCUGAGGAAUAGGCUGCCCAGAGUUUCAGACCCAGUACCUGGAACAGAACUUUAAACCUGGUAGUGCCCAAAAAACACUUGCAAAGUGAAUGAAUACCUUUCAGUCUGGUGAUUGAAUUGGAAUAGCUCUUUAAGGAGAAGAAAUGCCCUCCCGGCAUGACUGACAUGGACUCUCACUGAAGACCCAAGGACUUCAGGAAACCUCAGUGGAGGAGUCAGCUGGGGAAUGGCCACCAGGCAGUUUCAACCAAAAAUUCAAACAUACUCAAAAAUUUCUCAACCCAAACGCAGUACACAAUAUAAGCAGAUGAUUAAAAGUCCCCAUUGCAUUUCCCAUUUA